UCAACUUCCAUGAGCCCGUGUGCGAUUUUCCAGCAUUCCUUCCGAUCCACCAUCUACCUCUUCCGGAUUAGCAAUCAACCCGUCUGAGUCUAUGAUCCCAGCUCUGUGAUCAAGCUCUUAGCCGUCCGUGAAGCUUCCUUCACGCGUCUCAGCUUCCUUCACGCGUCCGGAGAUCCCGCUGCCAGCCCGGAUGUAUGCUUCGAACGACCACCCAACCUCCCAACGUCCUGAGAUCCCACGCGUUCCAGCUCCAGCUUCGGUUCACAGCGCCUCCCAGCUUCGUGUUCGUGCGAUCGAAUCCCUCAUCCAGCAUCCGAGAUCAAUCCAAGCAUCCAGUUUCUCCUAGAUUCGGCCUCAUCCGCGAAUCCAUCGCGUCCGCGUGCGAACCUAUCCGCGUCCCAGCUUCCGUGAUCUAAGCGCCAGCGUCCCAGCUCAUCAUCCCGCGAGCUUCCCGCAUCCUAGCGUCCAACGCCCUGCGAUCAUUCCGUGCGUAUCAUCCGAAUCUCAUGGCGCCUCUCAGCAUCCCGCAUUCACAGCCUCAUCCAGCCGUCCGCGUCCAGCAUUUUCGCCCGAGGAUGCAUCUCGUCCGGCCAUCUCCACCGCGUGCGAGAAAGGUGGAGGAGCAGGGCUGGUUAUCUUGGCCAUUCGGGGAGAAACGGGGGAGAGUUCAUUCGGAAACAGAGCCUCAUUCUUUCCCAUUCGGCAGGAAAACAGAGGAGCCCUCUGUCAAAAAAAAAAAAGAAAGGGAAACAGGGCCUCCCCUGUUUCCGAAAAAGAAAAAGAAAAAAAUGAAAGGGGGAUUAAUGUUUUCAAUGAGUGGCUGAGUUCUUAGGGAGGGAGAUGGAUGAACCUUUGAUG
rnacentral:lncRNA from 1 species